rnacentral:lncRNA from 1 species
UACAAAGUCUUCACCUCAUACCCCACACAAACAGGGUCUAGGAUGCUUACCUGGGUAAGUCCCGAGGCACGAAGCAUCUCCAGUGGGGAGCGGCUGCUUAGGUAGCCUUGGGUGGGUGGCCUUAGGCGCAGAAGCAAUGAGUACACCUGGUUCCGUAGCUGGGUGUGGGAUGGGAUAGGGUAGAGCUGGGGCCUGGGAGCCUGGCAAGGGGAUGACGCAGAGGACGCGGCCACCUUGUGUGGGAAGUUGAGGAAGUAGUUGGACUGGUCAAUGAAGAAGAGUUCGAGCGCCGAACGCCGCAGGUUGAAACGCCGCAGGUGGACCUCACGCAGCUGGGCCAAGGGGCGCCGGAAGUCAUGGCCGAUGCCUGCCGAGCAACCAAGAAUAGAAAUACACGUGCUGUGUGGUGAUCUCUAAGAGUCCCGGGAC